CAGUAGCCGCGGUAAUACGAAGGGGGCUAGCGUUGCUCGGAAUGACUGGGCGUAAAGGGCGCGUAGGCGGCGGCCAAAGUCAGGCGUGAAAUUCCCGGGCUCAACCUGGGGGCUGCGUUUGAUACUUGGUUGCUUGAGUGGGGAAGAGGGUCGUGGAAUUCCCAGUGUAGAGGUGAAAUUCGUAGAUAUUGGGAAGAACACCGGUGGCGAAGGCGGCGACCUGGUCCUUUACUGACGCUGAGGCGCGAAAGCGUGGGGAGCAAACAGGAUUAGAGACCCAGUAGUCCCUGUCUCUUAUACA
rnacentral:rRNA from 1 species